rnacentral:rRNA from 1 species
AGCGUUAUCCGGAAUCAUUGGGCGUAAAGCGCCUGUAGGUUGUUUACUAAGUCUGUUGUUAAAGACUAGGGCUUAACCCUAGAAAAGCAAUGGAAACUUGUAGACUAGAGUAUGGCAGGGGUAGAGGGAAUUUCUAGUGUAGCGGUGAAAUGCGUAGAUAUUAGAAAGAACACCGGUGGCGAAAGCGCUCUACUGGACCAUUACUGACACUCAGAGGCGAAAGCUAGGGUAGCAAAAGGGAUUAGAUACCCCUGUAGUCCUAGCCGUAAACGAUGGAUACUAGAUGUUGUGUAUAACAGUAUCGUAGCUAACGCGUUAAGUAUCCCGCCUGGGGAGUACGCUCGCAAGGGUGAAACUCAAAGGAAUUGACGGGGGCCCGCACAAGCGGUGGAGCAUGUGGUUUAAUUCGAUGCAACGCGAAGAACCUUACCAGGGCUUGACAUACUACGAAUUCUCUUGAAAAAGAGAAGUGCCUUCGGGAAUGUAGAUACAGGUGGUGCAUGGCUGUCGUCAGCUCGUGUCGUGAGAUGUUGGGUUAAGUCCCGCAACGAGCGCAACCCUUAUUUUUAGUUACCAAUUCGUUGGGUUUUUUAGAAAGACUGCCGGUGACAAACCGGAGGAAGGUGAGGAUGACGUCAAGUCAGCAUGCCCCUUAUGUCCUGGGCCACACACGUGCUACAAUGGUUAAGACAAAGAGUUGCGAGCUCGUGAGAGCCAGCUAAUCUAAUAAAC